CACGUAGGGGGCGAGCGUUGUCCGGAUUUAUUGGGCGUAAAGAGCUCGUAGGCGGUUCGGUAAGUCGGGUGUGAAAACUCAGGGCUCAACCCUGAGACGCCACCCGAUACUGCUGUGACUAGAGUCCGGUAGGGGAGCGUGGAAUUCCCGGUGUAGCGGUGAAAUGCGCAGAUAUCGGGAAGAACACCCGUGGCGAAGGCGGUUCUCUGGGACGGUACUGACGCUGAGACGCGAAAGCGUGGGGAGCGAACAGG
rnacentral:rRNA from 1 species